AUUGAACGCUGGCGGCAGGCCUAACACAUGCAAGUCGAGCGAGCGGCGGACGGGUGAGUAAUGCCUAGGAAUCUGCCUGGUAGUGGGGGAUAACGUCCGGAAACGGGCGCUAAUACCGCAUACCAUCAGAUGUGCCCAGAUGGGAUUAGCUAGUAGGUGGGGUAAUGGCUCACCUAGGCGACGAUCCCUAGCUGGUCUGAGAGGAUGACCAGCCAAACUGUAACUGAGACAGGGUCCAGACUCCUACGUGAGGAAGCAUGGGGGAAUAUUGGACAAUGGGCGCAAGCCUGAUGCAGCCAUGCCGGGUGUAUGAAGAAGGCCUUCGGGUUGUAAAGUACUUUCAGCGGGGAGGCGUUACCCGCAGAAGAAGCACCGGCUAACUCCGUGCCAGCAGCCGCGGUAAUAC
rnacentral:rRNA from 1 species